rnacentral:rRNA from 1 species
ACAAGAUGUUAAGAGUAGAUGGUGGAUGCCUUGGGUAGUAGAGGCGAUGAAGGACGCACUAGACUGCGAUAAGCUGCGUGGAGCUGUCAAGAAGCGUUGAGGCGCAGAUGUCCGAAUGGGGCAACCCAAUCCAUAGCAAUAUGGAUUACUCUAUUUAGAGAGCGAACCUAGCGAAGUGAAACAUCUCAGUAGCUAGAGGAAAAGAAAUCAACGAGAUUCCCUCAGUAGUGGCGAGCGAAAGGGGAAAAGGGCAAACCGGGUGCUUGCACUCGGGGUUGAGGACGACAACAUUCAAGGGGUUUAUCUAGCAGAGUUGCUUGGAAAAGCAAGCCAUAGAAGGUGAUAGCCCUGUAUGCGAAAGAUACACCCUAGAUAGUCGUAUCCAGAGUAGGCCAGGACACGGGAAAUCCGGGCUGAAGCCGGGGAGACCACUCUCCAACCCUAAAUACUACUACUACACCGAUAGCGCACAAGUACCGUGAGGGAAAGGUGAAAAGAACCGUGGGUAACGGAGUGAAAUAGAACCUGAAACCAUCUACUUACAAUCAUUCAGAGCCCUAUGAUUUAUCAGGGUGAUGGACUGCCUUUUGCAUAAUGAUCCUGCGAGUUGUGGUGUCUGGCAAGGUUAAGUGAAAACGAGCCGUAGCGAAAGCGAGUCUGAAUAGGGCUAUUUAGUCAGACGCUGCAGACCCGAAGCCAAGUGAUCUAUCCAUGGCCAAGUUGAAACGAGUGUAACAGCUUGUGGAGGACUGAACCCGUGCCCAUUGAAACGGGCUGGGAUGAGCUGUGGAUAGGGGUGAAAGGCCAAACAAACUUGGUGAUAGCUGGUUCUCUUCGAAAUAUAUUUAGGUAUAGCCUCAAGUCAUAACAAGAGGGGGUAGAGCUCUGAUUGGGCUAGGGCUGCUCGCCGCAGUACCAAACCCUGUCAAACUGCGAAUACCUUUUGUUGUAUCUUGGGAGUCAGGCGGUGGGUGAUAAAAUCAAUCGUCAAGAGGGAAACAACCCAGACUACCAACUAAGGUCCCCAAGUUCUAUUCUGAGUGGAAAAAGAUGUGUGGUUACUCAAACAACCAGGAGGUUGGCUUAGAAGCAGCCAUCCUUUAAAGAAAGCGUAACAGCUCACUGGUCUAGUGAUCAUGCGCUGAAAAUAUAACGGGGCUAAGAUAGACACCGAAGUUGUAGAUUGCUCUUUUAGAGCAGUGGUAGAAGAGCGUUCUGUGCAGCGUUGAAGGCAUACCGGUAAGGAGUGUUGGAGCGCACAGAAGUGAGCAUGCAGGAAUGAGUAGCGAUAAGAUACGUAAGAAUCGUAUCCGCCGUAAAUCUAAGGUUUCCUACGCGAUGUUCGUCAUCGUAGGGUUAGUCGGGUCCUAAGCCAAGUCCGAAAGGGGUAGGCGAUGGGAAAUAGGUUAAUAUUCCUAUACCAAUUGCAACGCGCGAUGGGAGGACGCAUAAAGUUAGGUGAGCUAGCUGAUGGAAGUGCUAGUCGAAGGGUGUAGAUUGGGAGAUAAGGCAAAUCCGCUCCUGUAUUUGAAACCUGACAGGCUCUCCAAGACUUUCGGGUCGAGGGGAGAAUCACUGAUACUAUCGUGCCAAGAAAAGUCUCUAAGUUUAGUUGCAAUUGUCCGUACCGCAAACCGACACAGGUAGAUGAGAUGAGUAUUCUAAGGCGCGUGGAAGAACUCUCUUUAAGGAACUCUGCAAACUAGCACCGUAAGUUCGCGAUAAGGUGUGCCUACGCAAGUAGGUCUCAGCAAAGAGUCCCUCCCGACUGUUUACCAAAAACACAGCACUUUGCCAACUCGUAAGAGGAAGUAUAAGGUGUGACGCCUGCCCGGUGCUCGAAGGUUAAGAGGAUGGGUUAGCCCGCAAGAGCGAAGCUUUGAAUUGAAGCCCGAGUAAACGGCGGCCGUAACUAUAACGGUCCUAAGGUAGCGAAAUUCCUUGUCGGUUAAAUACCGACCUGCAUGAAUGGCGUAACGAGAUGGGAGCUGUCUCAAAGAGAGAUCCAGUGAAAUUGUAGUGGAGGUGAAAAUUCCUCCUACCCGCAGCAAGACGGAAAGACCCCGUGGACCUUUACUACAGCUUAGCACUGCUAAUGGGAAUGCCAUGCGCAGGAUAGGUGGGAGGCUUUGAAGCAAGAGCUUUGGCUCUUGUGGAGCCAUCCUUGAGAUACCACCCUUGGCGUUUUUGUUAGCUAACUGGCUAGAGUUAUCCUCUAGCAGGACAAUGCUUGGUGGGUAGUUUGACUGGGGCGGUCGCCUCCUAAAAAGUAACGGAGGCUUACAAAGGUUAGCUCAUGGCGGUUGGAAAUCGCCAGUUGAGUGUAAUGGCACAAGCUAGCUUAACUGCAAGAGAGACAACUCAAGCAGAGACGAAAGUCGGUCAUAGUGAUCCGGUGGUUCUCGUGUGGGAGAGCCAUCGCUCAAAGGAUAAAAGGUACCCCGGGGAUAACAGGCUGAUCUCCCCCAAGAGCUCACAUCGACGGGGAGGUUUGGCACCUCGAUGUCGGCUCAUCGCAUCCUGGGGCUGGAGCAGGUCCCAAGGGUAUGGCUGUUCGCCAUUUAAAGCGGUACGCGAGCUGGGUUCAGAACGUCGUGAGACAGUUCGGUCCCUAUCUGCUGUGGGCGUAGGAAAGCUGAGGAGAGCUGUCCCUAGUACGAGAGGACCGGGAUGGACAUGCCACUGGUGCAUCAGUUGUUCUGCCAAGAGCACCGCUGAGUAGCUACGCAUGGUUGUGAUAAGAGCUGAAAGCAUCUAAGCUCGAAGCCAACUCCAAGAUAAGCUUUCCCUGAAGCUCGCAUGAAGACUACAUGUUUGAUAGGGUGGGUGUGUAAGUGCAGUAAUGCACUCAGCUAACCACUACUAAUAGAGCGUUUGGCUUGUUUGG